rnacentral:rRNA from 1 species
AUACGUAGGUGGCGAGCGUUGUCCGGAAUUACUGGGCGUAAAGGGUGCGUAGGCGGAUAAUCAAGUCAGAUGUGAAAGUCCAUGGCUUAACUGUGGGAGUGCAUUUGAGACUGAAGAUCUAGAGUGCAGGAGAGGGAAGCGGAAUUCCUAGUGUAGCGGUGAAAUGCGUAGAUAUUAGGAAGAACACCAGUGGCGAAGGCACUUUCUGGACUGUAACUGACGCUGAAGCACGAAAGCGUGGGGAGCAAACAGGAUUAGAUACCCUGGUAGUCCACGCCGUAAACGAUGAGUAUUAGGUGUAGGGGACGAUAGUCUUCGGUGCCGGAGCAAACGCAAUAAAUACUCCGCCUGGGGAGUACGGUCACAAGACUAAA